rnacentral:lncRNA from 1 species
AAGGUUCUGAAAAAUAUUAUUAUUAUUAUUGCUUGAAUUCAUCAACAAUCCAGUAAGAAGCCUCUGAAAAUGAAAUCACAAGACUGGAGCCCUGGAAACUGUAGGCUAACAAUGCUACUCAGAAGUAAAAUUUAAGGCUUUUAAAGGGCUUUAGAGCCAUGAUCUAAUUUGAGUCUUACAACACUCCCGGUCAAGCCACUUUCUUCCGAGCCAGCUGGUUCCGCACUAGCUCUACUCCCCCAUUGACGGUCCAGACACCCUUCCUGACGUCGAUGUUGAGUUAGUCUGGACACCCAGCAACACUUCGCUGACUAGCCAGUCACUCUCUCUAACCUAGCUCGAACCCGGAAUCCGAAAUCAUUCCAAACAAACUGCAAACCUGACCUCUUUCCCCGCACUCUGCCCUGCCUGCCCAAACUUUGCCUGCUCUGCGGAUUACCGGCUCCGCGAGAACUCCCUCAUGUGUCCUCCUCCUCCAAGGCAGGAGUAAUCCCUGCUGGCAGCUGCUCCCUUUUCAGUUACCGUUACAUAAAUUUAUGGAAGGAAAGUGAGAUGCCAAAUUUAGAUAAGGCAGAGAUGCUGCCCUCGUGGAGUUUAUCAUCUUGCAAGGGAUACUUUGCAGGAGGAAAUAACCACAGUCAUAAGGGGGCUGGUCCAAGCCCCUAUUCCCCAUGAUGCCUAGUGGAAACAGCUAUCAAAAAAAGGCCCUGUGAAUUCGGGAAAAGUCUUUCAUGAAACAGACACAGCAGAUCUUACUAUCAAAACACUGACCUUGGGAGAAUGGGAAAUAAAUUGACAGGUUUACUGAAGAUAUAUACUAUC